AACGAACGCUGGCGGCAUGCCUAAUACAUGCAAGUCGUGCGGACCUUUUAAAAGCAUUCUUUCAAAAGGUUGGCGGCGGACGGGUGAGUAACACGUGGGCAACCUUCCUCUAAGACUGGGGUAACGCCGGGGAACCAUGUCUACUACCAGAUCGUUUUUCCCUCCGCAUGGAGGAAAAAGUAAAGGCGCCUUCGGCUACCACUUAAAGCUAGGCCGGCGGCGCAUUAUCUCGGUGGCGGGGGAACGGCCCACCAAGGCAAGGAUGGGUAGCCGACCUGAGAGGGUGAGCGCCCAAGCUGGGAUGGGGACACGGCCCACAAUCCUGCGGGAGGCAGCAGUAGGGAAUUUUCCGGGAUGGAAGAAAUGCGGAAGGAGCGACGCCGCGUGAGUGAAGGAGGCCUUCGGGUCGUAAAAGUCUGUUGGCGGGGAAGAACAAGUGCCGUUCGAACAGGGCGGGGCCUUGACGGUACCCGGAGAGAAAGCCACGGCUAACUCCGUG
rnacentral:rRNA from 1 species